GCCUGUGAGGUGAGCUGAACUAGAACUCGUGUGGGUCGGUACUUCAACCCAACCGGGCUCCGGACGCCAAGGCAUGGAAAAGAAGGGAAGCCGGGAACCGGAGGGGGAGGAGCAGGUGCGGACAUGGGCCGAGCUGGUCCUCCCUUGGCUGGCCCCUCCUGACCUCGCUGCCGUCGCCUCCGCGAGCAAGGUCCUCAGCAGCGUGGCCAUGGCCGUCUCUGACCGGAGAGCCUCGGACGCUUCCCGAGGCAUUGAGCGCCACCCCGUCCCCUUCCUCAACCCCGUCGACGCCCAGCACUACUCCUACUUCCUGUACGCCCGCUUCCCCCUUUUCGCCCUCCCAUCCCCCUUUGCCCAGCCAUGGGGCGGACGCGGCCCCGCCCCCUCCGACCCCUCCUCCCUCGCUGCGCUCGCCUUCCCGCCGGCCGCCGGAGGGUGCGCUUGCGCACCGGCGUGCGCGUCCGAGUGCCCGUGCUCGUCGGGCCCCGAGCCGGGGACGGAGCUGAUGAUGGAGUGCGGGGCGAGUUGCCCCUGCGGGCUCGAGUGCCGGAAUCGCGUGUCGCAGGGAGGCAUUUCUGUCCGAUUGCGGGUCGUCAAACAUCCCCAGAAAGGGUGGGGAUUGCACGCGGCUCAGUUCGUCAAAAGGGGGGAAUUUAUUUGCGAGUAUGCCGGUGAGUUUUUGACAACAGAGGAAGCAAGAAAUCGUCAACGGAUUUAUGAUGAGCUUGCAUCCAGUGGAAGGUUUUCCCCUGCACUUCUGGUUGUGAGGGAGCAUCUACCUUCGGGCAAAGCAUGCCUGAGGGUGAAUAUUGAUGCAUCAAAAGUUGGAAAUGUGGCUCGCUUCAUCAAUCACUCAUGUGAUGGUGGUAAUCUGGCAGUUAUCCUGGUAAGAAGCCCCGGCUCGUUGCUCCCAAGACUUUGUUUCUUUUCUGCCAUGGAUAUACAGGAAGAUGAAGAGCUGACCUUCAGCUAUGGAAGUGCCAAGCUCAGGCAAUACGGCCAGCAUUGCUUCUGUGGAAGCUCUGUUUGCUAUGGUAUGUUGCCUUCAGAAGAAACUUGAUGCUGCUUUCUGACUCCAUAAGAGUAUGAAGGACUCUAGUUCGAAAGUGCCAUGGCCAUUAUUCAUGGAUUACUCACCUAUCUCCUUUGCAUAUUUCUGACGGAUGAGAAUGUCAGGAAAAGACUAGAGCCAUAGGAGCGUAACAAUAUCAGUCAGUUUGGGACGUUGAUUUGAUGCUCAAUCCAGUUCCAUAAUUGGUCAUCAAAAGUGUCAUUGGCAUGUGGGUUGUCAAGUUUGGACGAACUUCUUAUUCAAAGUUCUUUGUUGGGUAUCUCCAGUAUGUGAUGUAGGACACUAGAGUCAAGCACUGUGUACAAGCAGUGACAUGCAUAAAAAAGGACAAGGUCUCUUAUGAUUUAAAAGUUCUUGAUGCCUGCUGUCCGGAACUGAGAAAUAGUGCAGAUCUGAAUUGGAUGCCAAUUAUAGUGGAGAGAGGGAGUUUGUGUAUUAGCCCUCGGAUUUUGGUAGGUCUGAAAACGUAAGAGUUUCUAGGAUUGAGAGGAUGUCAAACUAGGUGAACUUAAGAUUAAGACUGGUCUAAUGAGAUUAGAAGUGAAAAGGAAGCUUUUUUAUAUCAGAUCAAGGUCAAGCAUAGAAUAAAUCUGAUCUAGCUAGUGAUAAAUUAGCAGCCAAGAAAAAAACAGCAGUAAGGAAAUUGAGAAUGAUGAAACUGUAAUGGAUAAGAUUUUGAUAGCAUGCGGUGCAUCAACAUAAAGAAGAUGAAUAGCGGCAGAAAUAUGUAAAGAAAAAGAGAGUAGCAGAAAGUGCAGGAUGUAAGAAAAAAUAAGCAGCAGCGGCAGCAAUAUGAGGCCUCCUCUUAAAUCUCAAUCUAGAUUCCAUGUACAAUCUGUUUAGAUACGUAGGGCGGUC